GACGAACGCUGGCGGCGUGCUUAACACAUGCAAGUCGAACGGAAAGGCCCUGCUUUUGUGGGGUGCUCGAGUGGCGAGCGGGUGAGUAACACGUGAGUAACCUGCCCUUGACUGUGGGAUAACUUCAGGAAACUGGGGCUAAUACCGGAUAGGAGCUCCUGCUGCACGGUGGGGGUUGGAAAGUUUCGGCGGUUGGGGAUGGACUCGCGGCUUAUCAGCUUGUUGGUGGGGUAGUGGCUUACCAAGGCUUUGACGGGUAGCCGGCCUGGGAGGGUGACCGGCCACCUUGGGACUGAGGUACGGCGCAGUAUCCUACGGGAGGCAGCAGUGGGGAAUAUUGCACAAUGGGCGGAAGCGUGAUGCAGCAACGCCGCGUGCGGGAUGACGGCCUUCGGGUUGUAAACCGCUUUCGCCUGUGACGAGGCGUGAGUGACGGUAAUGGGUAAAGAAGCACCGGCUAACUACGUG
rnacentral:rRNA from 1 species